GGGUUGUGAGGUUAAGCGACCAAGCGUACACGGUGGAUGCCCUGGCAGUCAGAGGCGAUGAAGGACGUGCUAAUCUGCGAAAAGCGCCGGUAAGGUGAUAUGAACCGUUAUAACCGGCGAUGUCCGAAUGGGGAAACCCAGUGUGACUCGUCACACUAUCAUUAACUGAAUCCAUAGGUUAAUGAGGCGAACCGGGGGAACUGAAACAUCUAAGUACCCCGAGGAAAAGAAAUCAACCGAGAUUCCCCCAGUAGCGGCGAGCGAACGGGGAGGAGCCCAGAGCCUGAAUCAGCAUGUGUGUUAGUGGAAGCGUCUGGAAAGGCGCGCGAUACAGGGUGAGAGCCCCGUACACAAAAGCGCAUAUGCUGUGAGCUCGAUGAGUAGGGCGGGACACGUGGUAUCCUGUCUGAAUAUGGGGGGACCAUCCUCCAAGGCUAAAUACUCCUGACUGACCGAUAGUGAACCAGUACCGUGAGGGAAAGGCGAAAAGAACCCCGGCGAGGGGAGUGAAACAGAACCUGAAACCGUGUACGUACAAGCAGUGGGAGCCUCUCUUUAUGGGGGGUGACUGCGUACCUUUUGUAUAAUGGGUCAGCGACUUAUAUUCUGUAGCAAGGUUAACCGCAUAGGGGAGCCGAAGGGAAACCGAGUCUUAACCGGGCGUUAAGUUGCAGGGUAUAGACCCGAAACCCGGUGAUCUAGCCAUGGGCAGGUUGAAGGUUGGGUAACACUAACUGGAGGACCGAACCGACUAAUGUUGAAAAAUUAGCGGAUGACCUGUGGCU
rnacentral:rRNA from 4 species